rnacentral:rRNA from 1 species
AGCCUCAGUACGGCGAGUGAGCGGCAACAGCUCAAAUUUGAAAUCUGGCCGCAAGGUCCGAGUUGUAAUUUGCAGAGGAUGCUUUUGGCGAGGUGCCUUCCGAGUUCCCUGGAACGGGACGCCAUAGAGGGUGAGAGCCCCGUACGGUUGGACCACCGAGCCUCUGUAAAGCUCCUUCGACGAGUCGAGUAGUUUGGGAAUGCUGCUCUAAAUGGGAGGUGUACGUCUUCUAAAGCUAAAUACCGGCCAGAGACCGAUAGCGCACAAGUAGAGUGAUCGAAAGAUGAAAAGCACUUUGAAAAGAGGGUUAAAAAGUACGUGAAAUUGUUGAAAGGGAAGCGUUUAUGACCAGACUUGGGCUUGGUUGAACAUCCGGCGUUCUCGCCGGUGCACUCUGCCAGUCCAGGCCAGCAUCAGUUUGUCCCGGGGGAUAAAGGCGGUGGGAAUGUGGCUCCCCCGGGAGUGUUAUAGCCCGCCGUGCAAUGCCCUGGGACGGACUGAGGAACGCGCUUCGGCACGGAUGCUGGCGUAAUGGUCAUCAACGACCCGUCUUGACACACGGGACCA